rnacentral:rRNA from 1 species
GACGAACGCUGGCGGCGUGCUUAACACAUGCAAGUCGAACGGUAAGGCCCUUCGGGGUACACGAGUGGCGAACGGGUGAGUAACACGUGGGUGAUCUGCCCUGCACUUCGGGAUAAGCCUGGGAAACUGGGUCUAAUACCGGAUAGGACCCUGGGAUGCAUGUCCUGGGGUGGAAAGCUUUUGCGGUGUGGGAUGGGCCCGCGGCCUAUCAGCUUGUUGGUGGGGUGAUGGCCUACCAAGGCGACGACGGGUAGCCGGCCUGAGAGGGUGACCGGCCACACUGGGACUGAGAUACGGCCCAGAAUCCUACGGGAGGCAGCAGUGGGGAAUAUUGCACAAUGGGCGCAAGCCUGAUGCAGCGACGCCGCGUGAGGGAUGACGGCCUUCGGGUUGUAAACCUCUUUCAGCACCGACGAAGCGCAAGUGACGGUAGGUGCAGAAGAAGCACCGGCUAACUACGUGCCAGCAGCCGCAGUAA